AGGGGCGCAACAAUCUUCAUCCCUUUCGCCCUCCAAGGCCUGAUAAUAUUGUAACCAUUUGCUAUACGAGUAGCACGACUGGAACUCUAAAGGCAUGCUGUAGCAUGGGAAGAACGUUGUUUUGGUCGUCGGGCGACGCUUUUUGGUCGUUGGGUGAUGCUGGACAGUCAGAAAUGUGUAUUUAGUUGUAAAAACACAUUUUUUGGGUAUGACUUUGGAUAUUUUUGAUCCCAACUCCAU